GAAGAGUUUCUCCACCAGUGGCAGACUCUCGAUGGCCAGCGGCUGCCUGUAGCCCAGCUGAUCCAAGCGCUUCCGCAGAUUGAUGAACUUCCGCUCUGCGUUGGUCGUCAUGGUCAUUCAACACAAAUACGCGCUCCGCUCUACAAGCAAAGUGAUUCACAUGUCAACAACAGAUUUAACAAAGACCUUUUACAUCUUCUUAUCUUAUACUUUCAUCGUUUGCCGUGUAUUGAAACCUAUGCGCUGCCAAAUCAGACAGCACUUUUGGACGCAUUGGCAACAUUCUAUUUCCUCCCCUCCCCGCGGUGAAUGGUCUUCCGGUGGCGGUAACACUGCUUGAAAAUGGCGCCGAGGAGAAAGGAAAGACCACAGUCCUGCUCAAGUGCCGUCAAACUGGAACCUGAGAAACAGCGACAUUUAGUGGACGUUGAGUAGUAAACGGUAUAAAAAAAGUGAUCACAACUGCUUUUACUCAUGUAAAUUCAGUGCAAUUAUAAUUGAACAUGUAAAGUCAGACCUUUCCCCAUGGGAACAGUGUAUUGAACCUUUAGACAAAAACUCAAUCCUCUUAUGUGCUUUGCAUCAUUUUUAAUAAAUCAGGUGCUUUGCCCAUUUAGCACGAUUGCCUAUUUUUUAGCAAACUAUUGGAGGAAAAACACACAUUUUAUUUAGGAGCACAAACUGAACAAAUAUAACGUUAUACUUUCAUGCAUUUGUUUAUCAUACAUGUUUAUGUUUACAGAUUACAUAAAUAAUUGCAUAUAAAUAUCUGUUACAAUCACUCUAUCAUCUUCCAACAAUAUUAUCAAUACAUAAUAUAUGAUGAGGCUACAUGGUGGCUCAGUAGUUAGCACUGUCGCCUUAUAGCCAGAAAGUUGCUAGUUCGAGUCCCGACUGGGUCAGUUGGCAACUCUGUGUGGAGUUUGCAUGUUCUCCCCAUGUUAGCUUAGGUUUCCUCCUGGUGCUCCGGUUUUCCCCACAGUCCAAAUAGACAAUUUUGAGGAAUGUAAACAAAAACAAUGGCCCCAAUUUAUUUCCUGUUUUACAUUUUUAAUUUAUAGAGCUUCCGAGAACCCAAAAAGAGCCACAUAUUGAUAAAUUAUGUUAUGAUAGCUGUUUUAACAUUACAUUAUGAUUAAAUUGCCUUUUACAGUUCGGAAAUAAUUUGCUAACCAGCAGGAAAAUUUCAUGGGCCAAAGACAUCACUACAUUGAAAUGGUCUAUAGAUGAAUUGAAUGAACUAAAUUUGCCAAAUAGCGUAUGAGUGUGAAUAAAUGUGA
rnacentral:lncRNA from 1 species